UGUAGUUUUGUAGGUGCAUCGAAAAUGUUUGUUCUGUUAUUAAUAACAACUGUGAUAUUUCAGCCUAUUUCGAGUAAGUUGUAGUGUAGAACGUUUAAGCUCUAUAUAUGAUGUCUGUUACAUACGAGCUGAUAAACAAUUGAAUAAUACUUUGCAAGCUGUGCCAGAAUUUACAACACCAGAUGAAUUCAAAGAUACCAAAGAACUUAUAAAUCGAAUUAAAAUAAUUGUAUCAAAAAUAGAA